GGGGUUCAGAUAAAAAAUCGGCAGCUGGCAGCAGGAAGUGGCUGCCAUUGACAGCCGGAAGGCAGUAACUGACAGCCGGGAGGCAGUAACUGGCAGCCGGAUGGUAGGCGGGACCUGCCAUUCGGUGGGAGCCAAUCAGUAUCGACCAACGUGGGCGCAACCAAUCAGAUAUAACUGCACCCAAACGCUUCAGUAAUGGUUGCGAUUGAUCAAACGUUGCCAGAUGCUGUCCUGUUGGAAAUUCUUCUUUACGUGAUCCUGGAGGAGGGGUGAUGCUACAUUACUUAGUGGAACAAAAUGGAGAACAAGUCUAAGCCAUGUCAGGAAUUCAACAAAAUGUACACCCUGCAGACACUGCGACGAGGUUUACAUCAACUGCUUACCAGGUCACUACAGUCACCCGGAUCGAGUACGUAUUCAGACCAGAUGGUGGAUCGCACCUAGAAAGGACCUCUACAGCCCUGAAAGACAGCGGAGACCAGGACAACUAGAGCCCCAGAUACAGAUCCCCUGUAAAGACCUUGUUUUUUCUCCAUUUUGUCACCGGUGGAGUUUUGGUUCCUUGUCGCCUCUGGCUUGCUUCGUUGUGGUCACUUCAUUUACAGUGAUAUCAUUGACAUGAUUGCAAAUAAUUCCACAGAUACUAUUUAAACUGAACCGAGCUGAAGGAUGACUUCACUGAAUUCAAUGAUAAACUGCCUUUUAAACUGACUACAAACUGAGUUUACUACUGUCCUUCUGCAUUAUUGACUGACACACUAUUUUCCUAUUAAAUACUGU